AAGAGGUACAGAACAGACUAGAACUGCUAAUUCUAAUACCCGAGGUUUAACUCCCCGGACCUCUUA
rnacentral:tRNA from 1 species